CGCGUAGGCGGUUCGUUAAGUGGGAUGUGAAAGCCCCGGGCUCAACCUGGGAACUGCAUUCCAAACUACCGAACUAGAGUAUGGUAGAGGGAGGUAGAAUUUCCUGUGUAGCGGUGAAAUGCGUAGAUAUAGGAAGGAAUACCGGUGGCGAAGGCGGCCUCCUGGACCAAUACUGACGCUGAGGUGCGAAAGCGUGGGGAGCAAACA
rnacentral:rRNA from 1 species